rnacentral:rRNA from 1 species
AUUGGCGGACGGGUGAGUAACGCGUGGGAAACCUGCCCUCGAGACCGGGAUAACACCCCCAACGGGGUGCUAAUACCGGAUAAGACCACCGCAUGCGAAGGUGCGCUUGAGGAUGGUCCCGCGUCCCAUUAGCUAGUUGGUGAGGUAAUGGCCCACCAAGGCGACGAUGGGUAGCUGGUCUGAGAGGAUGGUCAGCCACACUGGGACUGAGAUACGGCCCAGACUCCUACGGGAGGCAGCAGUCGAGAGGCUUCGGCAAUGGGGGAAACCCUGACCGAGCGACGCCGCGUGGGCGAUGAAGGCCGUUAGGUUGUAAAGCCCUGUCGUGCGGGGAGAAUGACGGUACCGCAGAAGGAAGCUCCGGCCAACUCCGUGCCAGCAGCCGCGGUAACACGGGGGGAGCAAACGUUGUUCGGAAUUACUGGGCGUAAAGGGCGUGCAGGCGGCCUUGUGAGUGGGAUGUGAAAUGCCCUGGCUCAACCAGGGAACCGCAUCUCAGAC